rnacentral:rRNA from 1 species
UACGGAGGGUGCAAGCGUUAUCCGGAUUCACUGGGUUUAAAGGGUGCGUAGGUGGGCAGGUAAGUCAGUGGUGAAAUCUCCGGGCUUAACCCGGAAACUGCCAUUGAUACUAUCUGUCUUGAAUACCGUGGAGGUGAGCGGAAUAUGUCAUGUAGCGGUGAAAUGCUUAGAUAUGAUAUAGAACACCGAUUGCGAAGGCAGCUUACUAAGCAAACAUUGACGCUGAGGCACGAAAGCGUGGGGAUCAAACAGG